AUUUAACGCUGGCGGCAGGCCUAACACAUGCAAGUCGAGCGGAGCGGCGGACGGGUGAGUAAUGCCUAGGAAUCUGCCUGGUAGUGGGGGAUAACGUCCGGAAACGGGCGCUAAUACCGCAUACUAUCAGAUGAGCCUAGGUAGGAUUAGCAAGUUGGGGGGGUAAAGGCCUACCAGGGCGACGCUCCGUAACUGGGCUGAGAGGAUGAUCAGUCAAACUGGAACUGGAACAAGGUCGAGACUCCUAAGGGGGGCAGCAGUGGGGAAUAUUGGACAAAGGGCGAAAGCCUGAACCAGCCAUGCCGCGGGUGGGAAGAAGGUCGUCGGAUUGUAAAGCACUGUAAGUUGGGUGGCGUUACCAACAGAAUAAGCACCGGCUAACUUCGUACCAGCAGCCGCGGUAAUUC
rnacentral:rRNA from 1 species